rnacentral:rRNA from 1 species
AUUGAACGCUGGCGGCAUGCCUUACACAUGCAAGUCGAACGGCAGCACGGACUUCGGUCUGGUGGCGAGUGGCGAACGGGUGAGUAAUGUAUCGGAACGUACCUUUCAGUGGGGGAUAACGUAGCGAAAGUUACGCUAAUACCGCAUAUUCUGUGAGCAGGAAAGCAGGGGAUCGAAAGACCUUGCGCUGAUUGAGCGGCCGAUAUCAGAUUAGCUAGUUGGUGGGGUAAAGGCCUACCAAGGCGACGAUCUGUAGCGGGUCUGAGAGGAUGAUCCGCCACACUGGAAUUGAGACACGGUCCAGCCUCCUACGGAAGGCAGCAGUGGGGAAUUUUGGACAAGGGGGGCAACCCUGAUCCAGCCAUGCCGCUGGGGUGAAGAAGGCCUCGGGUUGUAAAGCUCUUUCGGCCGGGAAGAAAUCGCAUAGGCUAAUACCCUGUGUGGAUGACGGUACCGGAAUAAGAAGCACCGGCUAACUACGUG